AUUGAACGCUGGCGGCAUGCUUUACACAUGCAAGUCGAACGGUAACAGGCCGCAAGGUGCUGACGAGUGGCGAACGGGUGAGUAAUGCAUCGGAACGUGCCCAGUCGUGGGGGAUAACUACUCGAAAGAGUAGCUAAUACCGCAUACGAUCUAUGGAUGAAAGCGGGGGACCGUAAGGCCUCGCGCGAUUGGAGCGGCCGAUGUCAGAUUAGGUAGUUGGUGGGGUAAAGGCUCACCAAGCCAACGAUCUGUAGCUGGUCUGAGAGGACGACCAGCCACACUGGGACUGAGACACGACCCAGACUCCUACGGGAGGCAGCAGUGGGGAAUUUUGGACAAUGGGCGCAAGCCUGAUCCAGCAAUGCCGCGUGCAGGAAGAAGGCCUUCGGGUUGUAAACUGCUUUUGUACGGAACGAAACGGCUCUGGUUAAUACCCGGGGCUAAUGACGGUACCGUAAGAAUAAGCACCGGCUAACUACGUG
rnacentral:rRNA from 1 species